CAGCACCUCAAGUGGUCAGGAUGAUUAUUGGGCCUAAAGCAUCCGUAGCCGGCUCUGUAAGUUUUCGGUUAAAUCUGUAUGCUCAACAUACAGGCUGCCGGGAAUACUGCAGAGCUAGGGAGUGGGAGAGGUAGACGGUACUCGGUAGGAAGGGGUAAAAUCCUUUGAGCUAUUGAUGACCACCUGUGGCGAAGGCGGUCUACCAGAACACGUCCGACGGUGAGGGAUGAAAGCUGGGGGAGCAAACCGGAUUAGAUACCCGUGUAGUCC
rnacentral:rRNA from 1 species